UGGGGAAUAUUGGACAAUGGGCGCAAGCCUGAUCCAGCCAUGCCGCGUGAGUGAUGAAGGCCCUAGGGUUGUAAAGCUCUUUCACCGGUGAAGAUAAUGACGGUAACCGGAGAAGAAGCCCCGGCUAACUUCGUGCCAGCAUCCGCGGUAAUACGAAGGGGGCUAGCGUUGUUCGGAUUUACUGGGCGUAAAGCGCACGUAGGCGGACUAUUAAGUCAGGGGUGAAAUCCCGGGGCUCAACCCCGGAACUGCCUUUGAUACUGGUAGUCUGGAGUUCGAGAGAGGUGAGUGGAAUUCCGAGUGUAGAGGUGAAAUUCGUAGAUAUUCGGAGGAACACCAGUGGCGAAGGCGGCUCACUGGCUCGAUACUGACGCUGAGGUGCGAAAGCGUGGGGAGCAAACAGG
rnacentral:rRNA from 1 species